AACCAUUGUUCCCUCUACCAGGAAAGAAGUUUGCGCAGCUGGCCCCUCCCACCAUUCACCUUAGAGGAUUCAGCUCAGAUGUCACUUCUUGACCUGACCACAUCACCCACUGCUGCCCAUGCACCCAGCCGCUGCAGCACGCUUGUUUUACUUUCUUCAUAGCAUGUAUCUGGUUCAGAAUGCUGGGAUCUUAAAGGCCUAAGAGGCCCCCCAUAGCUCCCUGCCACACUUCCCUCACCUACCUUGGACCGUGAGUGGAUGCAAUUUCAGCCAGGUAUCCUGAGUCCCACUCAGGUUCUUGGAGUUCCUGCUGUAGCUCUGGGCCAGCCUUGGAACUGUCCCCUCAUCCUGCUUAUGUGACCUAUUCAAGGGCCCUAAACAGGAGCCCUGAAGUCCUGGUGGAAACUUGCUCACCUGAGAGCUGAGUGCAGAGAGCUGGUCUGAGGAGGCUCCUGGAGCUGCGUCCAGCCCAGAGCACAGACACGCCGCUGUGUACUGAUGGAGUUCAUCAGUCAGUGUGAGGGCGCGUUGCCGGAAGAUGUGACUCUGUUCCCCCUCACCCUGAGGACAAGGCAGGGCCACCGCACGAUACAACAACAUGCCGAUCUCCAUGGAUUCCCGAAACACAGAAAAAAGUUGCAGGCUGAUAACCAGAGACAAACGGACCCAGUAACAGGGCUGCCUGACGCCAGCACUGACUGUUUUGAAAUAAUGCAGGAAGAAGAAGAAUGCAGGACCUUCACUACUUUGAUCCUUAUCAUAUACCCUGGACUGCUAGCCCCACAUAUAAAAUCUUCUCCCAUUCCCGAAGGGGGUGUGGGCACAGUUCUUGAGGCGCUAGACUUCUGUCUUCCCUUCUGCCUGGCAGAAAAAUAAAGCCAUCUCUCUCUUCCUCCAAAAUCUCUGUCUCCGUAUUUCUGUAUUUCUGUCCGGCAUUGGUGCACAGGGAAGCCAAUAUUUCGGCAACAAGUCUAGAAAUAAACCCUUACAUUUAUGGUUCAUUGACUUUCAACAAAAAUGUCAAUGCAAUUCAAUGGAGUGAAAGGAUAGUCAUUUCAGCAAAUGGUGCUGGGACAAAGGAAUUAAUGGUUGCCUGGGGUUGGGGUAGGAAUGGGGAAGGACUGCCCACGGGGUGAUAGAAAUGCCCUAAAACUGAAUUGUGGUGAUAGUUGCUCAACAGUACAAAUUAACUAAAGAUCAUUGAAUUUACACCUGAAAUGGGUAUAUUCUAUGGGGGAGGGAGAGGUAGACACCUCAGCCUGGAAGCAGGUCAGGCACUGGUGUGCUGAGGUGGGAGGGUCUGUAGUGGACAGGCUGGGUCUCUACCUUCUUCCCCACACCCUUGCUGAGCCUUUCGGAGCCUCUGCCCCUUCAUUUUCGUAAACUAGGAUAAUGACACUUGUAGGCGGUUGGGGAGGGUGGAAGGAAGGCACCAUAGGGCCAGCUGUGCCCUCCCUGUUGGGGUCCCACUCAGCUCCCAGAGCUGGGGGCAGCAAUCCCUGACCGGGAGCCUCCCACUCUGGCUUCAGAGCACCCAGGGGCCGAGAGGGUCUGGCCAGCACCGUCCUGAAGGAGUAGCAUGCUGCCCCCAUGUACACUUUUCUAGUGGCUGCAUUUAAAAAGUAAAAAGAAACAGGUGCAAUUCAUUUAAAUAGUACAUCUUAUUUAACCUAAUUCACUCUACAUAUUAUCACUGACAUGUGAUCAUUUUAUUAAUUAUCAAUAAUACAUUUUACAUUCUGUUUUUCUUACAAAGUCUUCCAAAUGUGAUGUGUAUUUUUCACUCAUAGCGCGUUUCAGUUUGGACCAGCCAUAUUUCAAAUGUCCAGAUAGCCUCCGCUCAUUUUUUGAUUGGAUUGGUUUUUUUGUGGUUGUUAUUGAGUUGUAUGAGCUGUUUGUAUAUUAUGGAAAUUAAGCCCUUGUCGGUUGCAUCAUUUGCAAAUAUUUUCUCCCAAACAAUUAGCACAGGUGCUAAGACCACUGGAUACCCACAUGCAAAAGAAUGAAGUUGGAUUCUUACCUCACUCCAUAUACAAAAUUAACUCAAAAUGGAUCAAAGACCUACAUAUAAGAACCAAAAUUAUAUAACUUGUAUUGAUAGAGGAAAACAUGAGAGUAAACCUUCAUGACCUUGGAUUCAAUGAUUUCUUAGAUCUGAUACCAAAAGCACAAGCAAGAAAAGCCAAAAGAGAUGAAUUGGACUUCUUACAACGAAAAAGUGUUGUGCAUAAAGGAGAAAGGGAAAAGAUAAUCCACCCUCCAAAAUGGUACAAGGUGUUUGGCAAUCACGUAUCUGAUAAAGAUCUGUAGCCCACCAGCCAAGACUGAGAGAGAUGUACCCAACUCUGCAGGACACUUCAUUGGGCUUAGAGGGUGACUAGGAAAGAAAUCAGUCUGGCAGGUGCCCAAGGCCAGUGCGGACCCCAGGGCUGGGGAGGGAGAGGAGGAAGGGCUGAGAGUUGGCGUUAGAACGGAUGGCCACUAGAGGACGCCAGAGCACCAGCGGGUGUUGGCGGAACUCCACGGAUGUAACCAGAGAGGAGGUGCUGGUUAUCGGGCGGCUCUGACUCUCCCACCCAAACUGCCUCGUCUCACAGAGGGGCACAGAGGUCUGCCUUCAGCAUUUGAUGGGGGCACUUCUAGCCUGGUCGGGUGGCCUAGUGGUUGGGACAGCCUAACAGGCUGUCUGCGGAC